AACGCACAUUGCGCCCAUUGGCAUUCCGAUGGGCAUGCCUGUUCGAGCGUCAUUAUCCUCCCUCAAAACCUCGUGUUUUGGUGUUGGGCCACGUCGUUGAGACACACGACGGGCCUCAAAGACAAUGACGGCGUCCGUGGGACCCUCGGUGCAACGAGCUUCUUCGUAAGCACGCGUCGAGUUAAGGACCCUCGGGCCCGGUCGCCUCUAGUAUUUUUCUAAGGUUGACCUCGGAUCAGGUAGGAAUACCCGCUGAACUUAA
rnacentral:misc_RNA from 1 species